AUUGAACGCUGGCGGCAUGCCUUACACAUGCAAGUCGAACGGCAGCACGGGAGCAAUCCUGGUGGCGAGUGGCGAACGGGUGAGUAAAGUAUCGGAACGUGCCCAGUCGUGGGGGAUAACGUAGCGAAAGUUACGCUAAUACCGCAUACGAUCUAUGGAUGAAAGCGGGGGAUCGCAAGACCUUGCGCGAUUGGAGCGGCCGAUAUCAGAUUAGGUAGUUGGUGGGGUAAAGGCUCACCAAGCCGACGAUCUGUAGCUGGUCUGAGAGGACGACCAGCCACACUGGGACUGAGACACGGCCCAGACUCCUACGGGAGGCAGCAGUGGGGAAUUUUGGACAAUGGGCGAAAGCCUGAUCCAGCCAUGCCGCGUGCAGGAUGAAGGCCCUCGGGUUGUAAACUGCUUUUGUACAGAACGAAAAGGUUUCUACUAAUACUAGGAGCUCAUGACGGUACUGUAAGAAUAAGCACCGGCUAACUACGUGCCAGCAGCCGCCGUAA
rnacentral:rRNA from 1 species